AAAGCUUUAUCCUGUUACCUGAAAUCCGUCACUGACUGGCAGGGAAAUGGUCUGUAACUUAAAUCCCUCACAUCCUCCUAGAACAGUGCCUCCCAGUUCGCGGUUUCCGAUGAGGGAUGGACUCCACCCUCUCACCACGCGUCCCGCUCCGAGCGGCAGCCAGGGCGCCGCCAUUUUUCCCGACACGCUCCUGUCACAACGCCGGCACCGCCCCCGGCCUCCGCGGCUACUUCCGCCCCCUACAGACGUCAGCGGCUCUGCCGCGCACGUCACGAGGCUUGUUUUCUGGCGUCUCUGACUGGCCGGCUCCUUUUGCGCAGACCUAAUGUCCUUUCACCUGAUAGUCACUCCCUCAGCCUUGGGACGGUCUGAGACCCGGAAGCUGUGACCUGUGGCUCCACUGGCCGGGGUGCGCUAAUGUUUUUCUCGUUUCCAUCAAAGGACUAAAGUUCUGGGAAAGGAGCCAAUCCUGGUGGAUCCUUCAGGUGAUAGAGACUCCAGAUAUAUGCAGCUGAGAACAUCACCUUGAAAAAACAAAUGAUGUAUUCUUAUGUUUCUUUGUUGGUGAACAUUUACGUUGCGUAUUUCCACAGUGGAGGAGAGCUAUCAGGCUUCCUAGAUUAGAGACCAUCACAGGGCAUCCUUGGGAGCAGUGACCUGAAGAUGGACAAGCCAUAGGAUGGAAGGAGCUGCAUCUCUGAGUCACCACUGGAGAACAGUCACCCCCAGUGGAUUUGGAGAGAAGUCUUCUCUAAUAUUCACUUCUAAGUCCCCAUUGUAAUCUACUUCUUUUAUUCUCCAGCACUCAGUGUGGUUUAGGUUGAAUUCUAGAUUCUCAUAAUAUCUUGGACAUGGAUAAUAAGGAAAAGACCUUCACA